UACACAGUAGUACUCGUCGUCAGAGUGAACUGGAGUGAGGGAACUCUCGAUUAGAUCCUGGAUCGACGAUAUAUCAAAUAUUAUGCUAUGUCAUAGCACGCUAUUAUGACGU